rnacentral:rRNA from 1 species
AGUUCGAUCAUGGCUCAGAUUGAACGCUGGCGGGAUGCAUGCAAGUCGAACGGCAGCACGGACUUCGGUCUGGUGGCGAGUGGCGAACGGGUGAGUAUCGGGGCGUGCCUAGUAGCCAGGGAUAACUACGCGAAAGCGUAGCUAAUACCGCAUACGCCCUUCGGGGAAAGCGGGGACCUUCGGGCCUCGCACUAUUGGAAACGGCCGAUAUCGGAUUAGCUAGUUGGUGGGGUAACGGCUCACCAAGGCGACGAUCCGUAGCUGGUUUGAAGGGACGACCAGCCACGCAGGACUGAGACACGGCCCAGACUCCUACGGGAGAGCAGCAGUGGGAAUUUUGGACAAUGGGGAAACCUGAUCCAGCCAUCCCGCGUGCGCGAUGAAGGCCUUCGGGUUGUAAAGCACUUUUGGCAGGAAGAAACGGCACGGGAUAUUACCCCGUGCAACUGACAGCUACCUGCAGAAUAAGCACCGGCUAACUACGUGCCAGCAGCCGCGGUAAUACGUAGGAGUGCAAGCGUUAAUCGGAAUUACUGGGCGUAAAGCUGACACGCAGGCGGUUCGGAAGAAAGAUGUGAAAUCCCAGAGCUUAACUUUGGAACUGCAUUUUUAACUACCGAGCUAGAGUGUGUCAGAGGGAGGUGGAAUUCCGCGUGUAGCAGUGAAAUGCGUAGAUAUGCGGAGGAACACCGUGAAAACAGCCUCCUCAGGAUAACACUGACGCUCAUGCACGAAAGCGUGAGGCAAACAGGAUUAGAUACCCUGGUAGUCCGCCCUAAACGAUGUCAACUAGCUGUUGGGGCCUUCAGGCCUUGGUGGCCCCAGCUAACGCGUGAAGUUGACCGCCGCAAGCAAAGUACGGUCGCAAGAUUAAAACUCAAAGGAAUUGACGGGGACCCGCACAAGCAGUGGAUGGUACAUGGUUGGCAUUCAAUUUGCAACGCGAAAAACCUUACCUACCCUUGACAUGUCUGGAAUCCCGAAGAGAUUUGGGAGUGCUCGCAAGAGAACCGGAACACAGGUGCUGCAUAGCUGCUUCGUCAGCUCGUGUCGUGAGAUGUUGGGUUAAGUCCGCAACGACUCAUGUCGUGGAUUGCUACGAAAGGAGCACUCUAAUGAGACUGCCGGUGACAAACCGGAGGAAGGUGGGGAUGACGUCAAGUCCUCAUGGCCCUUAUGGGUAGGGCUUCACACGUCAUACAAUGGUCAGGGACAGAGGGUCGCCAACCCGCGAGGAGCCAAUCCCAGAAACCCGAUCGUAGUCGGAGUCGCAGUCUGCAACUCGACUGCGUGAAGUCAGAAUCGCUAGUAAUCGCGGAUCAGCAUGUCGCGGUGAAUACGUUCCAGUCUUGCAUACACACCGCCCGUCACACCAUGGGAGUGGGUUUUACCAGUGGUCUCUUCUAACCGUAAGGAGGGCGAUUACCACGUGGGAUUCAUGACUGGGGUGAAGUCGUAACAAAGGUAG